AACACUUUGACCGCUUUUCACAACGCAAAGAGUCCUCCGCCGAGUGGAGACGGUGCGUCACCGGGGAAACAGCGCCGCCCUGUGGCCAGCCAGGAGCACUACACGGCGGCAGCUGCUAUGAUAACAGUCCAAAUGGAGGUCGGAGUUGACGGACGGCGCCGUGUCUCAUCGUCGGUGUUCUGAUCCCUGAAGUUCAGCUGUGACGCUGAUGUCCAACGUGUUGGACGUCUUUGUCCAAACCGUAUGCUUCAUAUGAGAAAUGCUCCAGUAAAUGAUGCCUCUUGUCACCAGCUGCACGAUGCAGGGGGAAGUUAAAUAAAUGCUCCGAUGAAGCAUAGAUUUGAAA